CCUUGGAUCUGUGCAUGGCGUGUAGUCCUGAUACUCUAUGCUGCAUACGGAAAAGGUUACGGCUUUUGCUUGGAGAGUGCCGGUGGCCAUAUCCUGGGCAGUAUCAAUCGCUUCAGUGGUGUCAUCAGUUACAUAUUUGUUCUUCUCUGAACAAAAUAUUCCACCAAGAUAGAAUGAAAAUCCACACAGCACCAAAAAAACUAUUGCCAUGGGGACCGUCCUGGAACUUUUAUCUGGUGGAAAUGGUUUUCCAUCUUUGUGCUUCAUGAUCUCAGAAUUUAUUUAUCUGCUCACAUACAAGUUAUAAAUUAGUCAGUAGUUGAGAUCAAUAAAUUUACAAUCAUCUGCGGCAGUGCAAACAAUAAUUGCUAGUCAAGGGAAAGAUUUAGUUCAAGAGAUAUAUCGGAUCUUGAAUGGAAAGUUCAAGCUACAAGUGAACUAGAACGGAUACCACGGAGAAAGAAAACGUAAGGUUCAAGCAGAUCUGGAGGUGAAAAUAAGCCAUUAUGAACUGGAUAUGAGGCCUCUGUGAANUCUGCAUCAAGUAAUCCAUAUAAAAUUUGAAUGCAUAAAAACAAAAUCUUAGAUCAAAAGACAGAUUAAACACCAUGAGAUAAGUCAACAAAAAUUUAAAAAUUACCCUUGGAUCUGUGCAUGGCGUGUAGUCCUGAUACUCUAUGCUGCAUACGGAAAAGGUUACGGCUUUCGCUUGGAGAGUGCCGGUGGCCAUUUCCUGGGCAGUAUCAAUCGCUUCAGUGGUGUCAUCAGUUACAUAUUUGUUCUUCUCUGAACAAAAUAUUCCACCAAGAUAGAAUGAAAAUCCACACAGCACCAAAAAAA
rnacentral:lncRNA from 1 species